UGGGGAAUCUUGCACAAUGGGCGAAAGCCUGAUGCAGCGACGCCGCGUGCGGGACGAAGGCCUUCGGGUCGUAAACCGCUUUCAGCAGGGACGAGGCCGCGAGGUGACGGUACCUGCAGAAGAAGCCCCGGCUAACUACGUGCCAGCAGCCGCGGUAAUACGUAGGGGGCGAGCGUUAUCCGGAUUCAUUGGGCGUAAAGCGCGCGCAGGCGGCCUGCUCGGUCGGGAGUCAAAUCCGGGGGCUCAACCCCCGCCCGCUCCCGAUACCCGGC
rnacentral:rRNA from 1 species